UUGGGCUGUUCGCCCAUUAAAGAGGCACGCGAGCUGGGUUCAGAACGUCGUGAGACAGUUCGGUCCCUAUCCGUCGUGGGCGCAGGACAUUUGAGAAGAUCUAUCCUUAGUACGAGAGGACCGGGAUGGACAAACCAAUGGUGCACCAGUUGCCGUGCCAACGGCACAGCUGGGUAGCUACGUUUGGAUCGGAUAAGCACUGAAAGCAUCUAAGUGCGAAGCCGACUUCAAGAUGAGAUGUCCCAUCACAUAAGUGAGUAAGGUCUCUGGCAGACCACCAGUUUGAUAGGCCGGAGGUGUAAGUACAGUAAUGUAUUGAGCUGACCGGUACUAAUCGACCGAGGGCUUAACCUUA
rnacentral:rRNA from 1 species